CCUACGGGGGGCAGCAGUGAGGAAUAUUGGUCAAUGGGCGGGAGCCUGAACCAGCCAAGUCGCGUGAAGGAAGAAGGUAUUUAGUAUUGUAAACUUCUUUUGUCGGGGAACAAAGGCGGAGACGCGUCUCCGGAUGAGUGUACCCGAAGAAAAAGCAUCGGCUAACUCCGUGCCAGCAGCCGCGGUAAUACGGAGGAUGCGAGCGUUAUCCGGAUUUAUUGGGUUUAAAGGGUGCGUAGGCGGAAGGUUAAGUCAGCGGUCAAAUGUCGGUGCUCAACACCGGCCUGCCGUUGAAACUGGUCUUC
rnacentral:rRNA from 1 species